UACGUAGGGUGCGAGCGUUAAUCGGAAUUACUGGGCGUAAAGCGUGCGCAGGCGGUUCGUGAUGUCUGGUGUGAAAGCCCCGGGCUUAACCUGGGAAUUGCAUUGGAAACUAGCGGGCUGGAGUGUGGCAGAGGGGGGUGGAAUUCCACGUGUAGCAGUGAAAUGCGUAGAUAUGCGGAGGAACACCGAUGGCGAAGGCAAUCCCCUGGGCCUGCACUGACGCUCAUGCACGAAAGCGUGGGGAGCAAACAGG
rnacentral:rRNA from 1 species